rnacentral:rRNA from 1 species
UACGGAGGGGCUAGCGUUGUUCGGAAUCACUGGGCGUAAAGCGCACGUAGGCGGAUCUUUAAGUCAGGGGUGAAAUCCCAAAGGCUCAACCUUGGAACUGCCUUUGAUACUGGGGAUCUCGAGUCCGGAAGAGGUGAGUGGAACUGCGAGUGUAGAGGUGAAAUUCGUAGAUAUUCGCAAGAACACCAGUGGCGAAGGCGGCUCACUGGUCCGGUACUGACGCUGAGGUGCGAAAGCGUGGGGAGCAAACAGGGA